CUUCGGUGCCUGCAACUGAGUGGAACAACAAAUGGGUGCCCACCCCAUUUAUCCUCCAGUUGAUCUGUCCCUCUGCCUGGGAUUUCUUAAAAGAAGAAAACAGACACCCUGAAUCUUAAUGAGCUACUGGGAAAGGCUUUAUUCUUCAAGUCAGUUUGUACAGGAAGUGAAGCUGUAAUGUCCAAGUAAUCUGGAGUCGCCAGGGUGGUUUGAGAUUGUGCCAUUUUUUGUGGCUGUUUGAUUGCAUGUGUCCAGUCAAGUCAGCAAGUGAGGCAACUGAGCCAGGUGCAGGUCAGCUGCUCUGCCUCUGCAUCAGAGGUUUCACCAAGAUUACACGGGGGCUAUUUAUUUAGAAAUAAAUGGAUGGGUCAGGACUUAGGAGAGCCUGCUGUUGCCAUGCUUUCCCCAGGCUGUGGGAACAAAGGAUUACCUUAGCCCCUAACAUUACCUCAGCCUAUAUAAAUACUGGGUUAACUGCUUUUCCCCCCCUCUCUCUCUGGUUGUGCCCCUGGAUAUCAGCUCCUGAUAAAUUUGGUCUUGGCUCUAACAAUGCACCUGCAUUCCUUUCAGGGAACAGAUACGCCAGGGUCUGGAAGAGCUGCAGAAAGUCCUUCUGGGAGGUGACACAUAUAUGCAUGAAGGAUUUGAAAGGGUAACUGGAUGCAUGCUAUAGUGCCUCUAAACCCCGUCUGGGCGCUCCUGAACACAGGGCUUGUAUUAUAAGGGUAGGCACAAUCAUUUCUAUUCAGAAAAAUGUAAUGUUGUCAAAACUACUGCUGCUGAUUUAUUUUUGAAAGAUUUGAUAUUAUUAUCGUGAUAAAUUCUUUUGCAAUAAUACUUAUUCUAAACAUUUAUUCUCUUGGAGACAAUGCCUCUAAUGUUGAAGCUGUUCACAAAUUUCACCUACUUCAGAGGAGGCUUUUCAUGAGGGAGAUCAAAGUGUGACUCAGAGCAUUUAGCACUCGCGGUUUGGAAGAUUUCCUGGAAGAAUUUCAGGCUGCUGUAAAUACCCGGGCUCUCGGGUCUCAUGAUUCUUGUCCGACGCUCCCAUCAGAUAGUUCUGCCACAACUUUAUGUCACUUGCUGAGACUGUUGACUUGCAUCGGAGUUGUGAAGGAAAGAAUAUUGCCUUUCUAACAUUUUACAUCUGCUUCUCGUCUUUGUACCAGAGCUCUUCUCUCCUCCCCAUUUGAGUAGGUCUGUGGAGCAAAGUCUGUGCCGAAAGUGAAACUUCACCCAUGAGUCCCGACACAUUGGGCAUUUUUACUCUGUAAUGUGUGAUAACUAUACUUAAAGUUAACCUCAUUUUGAGGGCAGGUGAGGCAAGAUCUGCAGGUAAUUGUUGUGUACUCUUACUUUUUAUACAGUAAUAUCCCAAAGUUAAAUCUUAAAAUGAGUUUACCUUAUUGGCACAUGCCCUGUGUUCACAGAAUCAUGACAGGUUUCCUGGGGAAAUACUCUGAUAAGAGGAGGCUUUGACUGAAUUCGUUACACACGAGAAGAUGAAAGAAAGCUUGUCAUGGGCUACGUAGCAACCAAGGUAUUUUCAAAACACACCUGCAUCAUUGCUAGCAUGGACAAGAGGUUUUGGUCUGAUAAACCCUUUCCUGCACCACGUCAAGCACACCAGGGACUGAGUUCUCACCAACUUCCACCCAGAAUGCACCACUUCAUUAUCUCAAGGAACAGACUCCAAAGCUUGCGCCCGUACGGAAAACGCAUUCAAGCUCUGUGCCGAGGAAUUCCUUCUUACUUUGCUUACCCUACUGCUGGAUCAAACUUCUUAAGGCAAGAUGUUGCCUGUUUGAAAGUUAAGAUUAAGGAACUGCCUGUCUAUUACUGUGAUUAAUUAUUCCGGAUGAAGUACCGAGGAAGAAAAUUCCCAGACCUGUGGACCCACAAGCAAGGGUUUUUCUCCUCCACAAUCUUCUCUUGAUGACAUUUUCAGUCACUUCUUCUGCUCUGUCUGGAGAUGAUUAUCUUUCAGUAAAAUUUCCCAUCAACCUCU